GGUUUGUGACUCAGUGGUAGAGUGCUCACCUAGCAUGCAUGAGGCACUAGGUUCAAUCCUCAGCACCA
rnacentral:tRNA from 1 species